rnacentral:rRNA from 1 species
AUUGAACGCUGGCGGCAGGCCUAACACAUGCAAGUCGAGCGGAUGAAGGGAGCUUGCUCCUGGAUUCAGCGGCGGACGGGUGAGUAAUGCCUAGGAAUCUGCCUGGUAGUGGGGGAUAACGUCCGGAAACGGGCGCUAAUACCGCAUACGUCCGAGGGGGGAAGUGGGGGGUCCUCCGACCCUAACCCUAUCGGUUAACCCUAGGUCGGAUUAGCUAGUUGGUGGGGUAAAGGCCUACCAAGGCGACGAUCCGUAACUGGUCUGAGAGGAUGAUCAGUCACACUGGAACUGAGACACGGUCCAGACUCCUACGGGAGGCAGCAGUGGGGAAUAUUGGACAAUGGGCGAAAGCCUGAUCCAGCCAUGCCGCGUGUGUGAAGAAGGUCUUCGGAUUGUAAAGCACUUUAAGUUGGGAGGAAGGGCAGUAAGUUAAUACCUUGCUGUUUUGACGUUACCAACAGAAUAAGCACCGGCUAACUUCGUG